rnacentral:rRNA from 1 species
AUUAGUAUUAGUUAUUUUCUUGAAAAUUAAAGAUUUUGGCGGUGUUUUAGUCUAUUCAGAGGAACCUGUUCUGUAAUUGAUAGUCCACGAUUUACUUUACUUAAAUAAUUUGUAUAUCGUCGUUGUUUUGAAUAUUUUAUAAGAAUUUUAAUGUUCAAUUUUUAAAAUAAAAAUUUAAAUCAGAUCAAGGUGCAGUUUAUAUUUAAGAAGAAAUGGGUUACAAUAAAUUUAUUUAAAUGGUUUGAUAAUUGAAAUUUUAUCAUUAAAUUGGGAAAGUAAAAUUUUUAAUUAAGCAAUUUGAUUUAAGCUCUAAAAUAUG